GACGAACGCUGGCGGCGUGCUUAACACAUGCAAGUCGAACGGAAAGGCCCCUUUGGGGGUACUCGAGUGGCGAACGGGUGAGUAACACGUGAGUAACCUGCCCUUGACUUCGGGAUAACUUCAGGAAACUGGGGCUAAUACCGGAUAGGAAUCCUUGCUGCAUGGUGGGGGUUGGAAAGCUUCGGCGGUUUUGGAUGGACUCGCGGCUUAUCAGCUUGUUGGUGGGGUAGUGGCUUACCAAGGCUUUGACGGGUAGCCGGCCUGAGAGGGCGACCGGCCACAUUGGGACUGAGAUACGGCCCAGACUCCUACGGGAGGCAGCAGUGGGGAAUAUUGCACAAUGGGCGGAAGCCUGAUGCAGCAACGCCGCGUGCGGGAUGACGGCCUUCGGGUUGUAAACCCUUUCAGCAGGGGCGAAGCUUGUGGUGACGGUACCUGCAGAAGAAGCACCGGCUAACUACGUG
rnacentral:rRNA from 1 species